GACGAACGCUGGCGGCGUGCUAACACAUGCAAGUCGAACGCUGAAGCUCAGCUUUUGUUGGGUGGAUGAGUGGCGAACGGGUGAGUAACACGUGAGUAACCUGCCCCCUUCUUUGGGAUAACGCCCGGAAACGGGUGCUAAUACUGGAUAUUCACUGGUCUUCGCAUGGGGGUUGGUGGAAAGGGUUUUUCUGGUGGGGGAUGGGCUCGCGGCCUAUCAGCUUGUUGGCGGGGUGAUGGCCUACCAAGGCUUUGACGGGUAGCCGGCCUGAGAGGGUGACCGGUCACAUUGGGACUGAGAUACGGCCCAGACUCCUACGGGAGGCAGCAGUGGGGAAUAUUGCACAAUGGGCGCAAGCCUGAUGCAGCGACGCCGCGUGAGGGAUGGAGGCCUUCGGGUUGUGAACCUCUUUCGCUCAUGGUCAAGCCGCAACAAUGGUUGUGGUGAGGGUAGUGGGUAAAGAAGCGCCGGCUAACUACGUG
rnacentral:rRNA from 1 species